AUCUUUGCUAGCUCAAUUGGUAAAGCUUGUAACUUUCAAUAUUAGUUCUGGCAGAACUACAUACAUUACAAGGUUGGGGGUUCGAGCCCCUUCGUAGGACU